AUAAAGAAGCCGUCGAGAGGUAUCGGAUGAGUUUUCUUUUCUGUUUUAUAGCCGUACUACCAUGGAAGUCUUUCACAGAGAGAUAUGGUAGAUGGGCUAGAAGAGUAUGACAUACACUAUUGUGUCGAUAUUUUCUCCUCGGACCUUGAAAAUUUAU
rnacentral:ncRNA from 1 species